rnacentral:tRNA from 1 species
GCCGAGGUGGCGAAAUUGGCAGACGCGAGAGACUUAAAAUCUCUUGGUGGCUAAUCCACUAUGCGGGUUCGACUCCCGCCCUCGGCACCA